rnacentral:lncRNA from 1 species
GGGGAGUGUCUUUUUGUGGGGAGCUUAGAACUUUUAAGAUAAGGGUAUGCAAAAAAUAUAGUUGCGUAUAUCUGGAUGUCAUUCUAGUAAACUUGGGUGGAUCUGGUAAAGUUACUGGCUUGUUCUUAUUUCUCAAAGGCUUUUGAAAACACAUCACAUGAUAUUGGCUACUUCAUGAAAGCUCCCCCUCCCCCAAAACAUCACAGUAAUCCAGAGAAGUGUCCCCUCUCCCACUACAGAGGGAUGGCAACAGAAUAACAGUAGUUAUAUUAGUAGUAUAUUUAUAUUUCUAAAAAGCCCAUUAGUUCUCAAGGGAGAAUAAGGACUAAUUCUCCAAAAAUGUAGUUUCCUUGAGAAGCUUCAGAACCAAAAAACUUCCUUACAUGAAAAACCACACAGAACAGUUGAGAGGUUCAUUCAUAAGAACUUUAUUAUAUUUGUCAACUUAAUAUAUGUAUUCUUAACAUUUGUUCUUGGAUUAUUUGUGAAAAUUUUGAGACAUUAAAGCUGAACUUCAUUCUAAAAAGUAUUUUAUCUCUGUUAACUCUUUUUAUAUCACAAGGUAAAAAAUGUAAAUAGCAGCAACUUUACAUAUAAUGGAAUAGGAAUCAUUUAUGUCUUUUUCCAGAGUAAAUUUGGUUCAUCCUUUGUCUUAAGGUACAUCUGUGG